rnacentral:rRNA from 1 species
GAUGAACGCUGGCGGCGUGCUUAACACAUGCAAGUCGAACGGGAAUUACUUUAUUGAAACUUCGGUGGAUUUAAUUUAAUUCUAGUGGCGGACGGGUGAGUAACGCGUGGGUAACCUGCCUUGUACAGGGGGAUAACAGUCAGAAAUGACUGCUAAUACCGCAUAAGCGCACAGGACCGCAUGGUCCAGUGUGAAAAACUCCGGUGGUAUAAGAUGGACCCGCGUUGGAUUAGCUGGUUGGUGGGGUAAUGGCCUACCAAGGCGACGAUCCAUAGCCGGCCUGAGAGGGUGAACGGCCACAUUGGGACUGAGACACGGCCCAGACUCCUACGGGAGGCAGCAGUGGGGAAUAUUGCACAAUGGGGGAAACCCUGAUGCAGCGACGCCGCGUGAAGGAAGAAGUAUCUCGGUAUGUAAACUUCUAUCAGCAGGGAAGAAAAUGACG